rnacentral:rRNA from 1 species
UACGAAGGGUGCAAGCGUUACUCGGAAUUACUGGGCGUAAAGCGUGCGUAGGUGGUUUUGUUAAGUCUGUUUGUGAAAAGCCCCCGGGCUCAACCUGGGAAUGGCAAUGGAUACUGGCAGGCUAGAGUGCGGUAGAGGGUAGUGGAAUUCCCGGUGUAGCGGUGAAAUGCGUAGAGAUCGGGAGGAACACCAGUGGCGAAGGCGGCUACCUGGACCAGCACUGACACUGAGGCACGAAAGCGUGGGGGAGCAAACAGG